rnacentral:rRNA from 1 species
CUCAGCCGCGGUAAUUCCAGCUCCAAUAGCGUAUAUUAAAGUUGUUGCAGUUAAAAAGCUCGUAGUUGAAUUUCGGGGUCAGUAGGCUGGUCGUGCCACAGGUAUGUACUGGUCUCACUGAUUCCUCCUUCCUGAUGAACCGUAAUGCCAUUAAUUUGGUGUUGCGGGGAAUCUGGACUGUUACUUUGAAAAAAUUAGAGUGUUUAAAGCAGGCUAACGCUUGAAUACAUUAGCAUGGAAUAAUGAAAUAGGACGAUCGAUCCUAUUUUGUUGGUUUCUAGGAUUGACGUAAUGAUUAAUAGGGAUAGUUGGGGGCAUUAGUAUUCAAUUGUCAGAGGUGAAAUUCUUGGAUUUAUUGAAGACUAACUACUGCGAAAGCAUUUGCCAAGGAUGUUUUCAUUAAUCAAGAACGAAAGUUAGGGGACCGAAGACGAUCAGAUACCGUCGUAGUCUUAACCAUAAACUAUGCCGACUAGGGAUCGGAUGAUGUUAAUUUUUUAAUGACUCAUUCGGCGCCUUA